GGACAAAGUGAUUAAAAAUACUGGAUUCCACUUAUCAGCUGUGGAAAGCUGCCUCCUUAGGCUUAUGUUCUGCUGAAUGUGGGCACUUAAACCCUUUCCUGACAGCAAAACAUCAAAGUGCCUGUUAAUUGGGAAAAUUAAAGGUUCUCCUGUCUUGCCUUGGAUGUGCCUUGCUGAGUCACAGCCGUACACCGGAGUGGGCCUGAGCUGUGCGUGGAUAUUGCAACAGGACGCUCUUUCCCUCUGUGAGCCUUAGCUGCAAUAUGAACCAAGCUGGAAUUUCUCCUGGAGUUUUCCCAGCCUGCUGCUGAGCCUUGCUUGGUCCCAGCAGACACCAGUGCCUCGGAGGUACAGCCGUUGGCAGUCGACGGAGCUUUUCUCCGUAAGCGUUUUCUUGGUUCUCUCCUGCCUGACUGCCUGAUACAGUUUUGAGGAAAUGCUGCACAUGUCCUCGUACUAAGAUAUUGCAAGAAUGGGAAGAUUCCAGGAAUAGGAAAUAUGGUGUUACUCAAUAAAUGUGUGAACACUGGAUUUAUUUACUGGAAUGUCACAGACUCAAGCUGGAAUGAGGGGAAGAGAGCGCGGGGCUUUCCUCCAUGCAUACUCUAACAGAGAGAUGUCAAGUGUCUUCGCAUUGUGCAACACAUGAUUUCUGUAACUUUAAUUGAAAUGUGUUUGGGGGGUGGUUAGAUUGUGUUGAUACAACACUGCUUAGAGAAGUUCUAAUUCCUGAAGCUCUUAGCAAAAGUAUUUGCAAUGAGGAGAGAAGGAAGGGCUGGCAAUGAAGACCUCCUUUUUUUCUCAGGAACUCUCGUUUGGAACGUCUUACUCUCUUGCAACAUGGGACGGAUAAACAUUACAUUAAUGAUUAGAUGGAGACUAAGAGCUGAAUUUGUUUGUAUUUGAUGAGACAGUUGCUCUAUUGACUGUGUGUCUUCACUCCUGAGAAGAAAUAGCUUCGGAAGAAAUAGUGAAAACAUAUCUCAAAUCACAUUGCAUGUGGAACAGAGGAACCAUUGGUUGAACUGUGACUAAAACAACUGGCAUUUUACCUCUGCACCAGUUUCGCUUUCAGAAAGUGACUGUCAAGUUAGACUGAGAGAUGAUCAUUUCAAUCUGUAGAAAUUUCCAGUGAUACUCAUGGCAAACAGCCCGACACAUAAACUAGGAGUCAGCACAGCAGAAGAAAAAGAAAACAAGAAAUGUAAACCAACAUAAAUAGAAAAGAAGUAUUGUACCUGGGCUGAUGGAGGGGGGGGGAAAAAAACGCAGAGAAAAACAGCUAGAUUUGCCUUAUGUAGGGAUUUCAGUUUAAUUCUUUAGGUCAUUUUUUUAAAAAGUGUCUUUUAAUUUUAAGCCAUAUUCCUCAAGUUUUCUGAUGUUCUUUCCGGGCAAAAAAUGCUGCCUGGAAGGAGCACAUAAAAAUUCCAGCUUCCUGAUAGCUGCCUGGCUAGCUGGCCCUGCUCACCCUUGUCCUGACCAGCUGGGACAUGGAAGAACUCCUUGGAGGGACCCCGGGCAUCUCACUGAGCCCUACUGAGGGCAGAAGCAAAUGUGUUUCUUGGGAUUUUGUGAGCUGGGGCUUUCC